UUGUAUUUUCAGAUAAACAUUUUUGAAUGCUAUUCUUAAAGAACUUUUGUUGAAAACGAAAAGGUUUUUUCAAGAUGUAACUUGUGAGAUGGAGUCUAUCAGAACCCAUUACUUCUACGCUUCUGAAUAUUUCCAUGGGGUCCUGUGAUUUGUUGCAAAAGUUCGGAACGUUGAAUUUUAUCAGAAUGACAUCGGCCAGGAAACGGAAUGCAUGAGUUGAAUUAUUUUUGGUUGGAAUUUCGAGAGCCACGCUUUUAGGACUAUGCAGAAUAUAAAAUGACUUCAAUUUUACUUCUGAAGAUUUAGUUUACUUCUGAAGGCUGUUCUAAACUUUUGUUCCAGUUGCGAACAAUGGUAUCGGUUUAACACGAAAAAGGCAAAAAACAUCCAUUUCAUUGUGAGAUGAAUCAAAUGUAUUACAAUCAGUUAAGCUCUGACAAUAAGUGCAAUAUUUGUUCUCUAUACAGUGAUCAAUUUUAUUGAAAAUGUAUAACAAAAAAUGAAUAGUUUUUCCAUCACUGUAAGGGUUAAACAUUUUCUAUUUUGUGAUACAAUUUUUGUCAGCUGUUUUCAAAUAGAAAAUUUUGAAACUGAUAAUCGGUGACCAGGAAACGGAAUACAUGAAAUUUGGAAAAAGUAUUUUUG